rnacentral:rRNA from 1 species
GACGGGGGGGGCAAGUGUUCUUCGGAAUGACUGGGCGUAAAGGGCACGUAGGCGGUGAAUCGGGUUGAAAGUGAAAGUCGCCAAAAAAGUGGCGGAAUGCUCUCGGAAACCAAUUCACUUGGAGUGAGACAUGAGGAGAGUGGAAUUUCCGUGGUGUAGGGGUGAAAUCCGUAGAUCUACGGAAGGAACGCCAAAAGCGAAGGCAGCUCUCUGGGUCCCUACCGACGCUGGGGUGCGAAAGCAUGGGGGAGCGAACAGG